AUAACUUUUUAAAUCAGUCCAGUGAGGCUGAAAAAAGGAGAAGAUGAAUUUCUCCUUAGAAUAAAAAAUAUAAGGAGGUUUUUUUAU
rfam:Clostridium novyi NT, complete genome.